rnacentral:rRNA from 1 species
GGCUCAGACUCAAGUCGUAACAAGGUAACCGUAGAGUUUGAUACUGGUGAGUACACGUGGGUAACCUGCCCAUAAGACUGGGAUAACUCCGGGAAACCGGAGCUAAUACCGGAUAACAUUUUGAACCGCAUGGUUCUAAAUUGAAAGGCGGCUUCGGUUGUCACUUAUGGAUGGACCCGCCCCGAAUUACCUAGUUGGAGAGGUAACGGUUCACCAAGGCAACAAUGCGAACCCAACCUGAAAGGGGGAUCGGCCACCCUGGGACUGAAACCCGGCCCAAACUCCUACGGAAGGCAGCAGAAGGGAAUCUUCCGCAAGGGACAAAAGCCUGACGAAGCAACGCCGCGGGAGGGAUGAAGGCUUUCGGUUCGAAAAAUUCUGUUGUUAGGAAAAAACAAGGGCUAGUUGAAUAAGCUGGCACCUUGACGGUACCUACCCAAAAACCCACGUAUAUCUACGUGCCAGCACCCGCGGAAAUACGUAGGUGGCAAGCGUUAUCCGAAAUUAUUGGGCGUAAAGCGCGCACAGGUGGUUUCUUAAGUCUGAUGUGAAACCCCACGUCUCACCCGUGGAGGGUCUUUGGACUGUGGGACACUUGAGUGCAAAAGAAGAGAGUGAAAUUCUGUGUGUAGCGGAGAUAUGCGUAGAUAUAUGGAGGAACCCCCAGUGGAGAACGACACUUUCUGCUCUGU